rnacentral:rRNA from 1 species
GACGAACGCUGGCGGCGUGCUUAACACAUGCAAGUCGAACGAAGAGCGAUGGAAGCUUGCUUCUAUCAAUCUUAGUGGCGAACGGGUGAGUAACGCGUAAUCAACCUGCCCUUCAGAGGGGGACAGCAGUUGGAAACGACUGCUAAUACCGCAUACGAUCUAAUCUCGGCAUCGAGGAUAGAUGAAAGGUGGCCUCUACAUGUAAGCUAACACUGAAGGAGGGGAUUGCGUCUGAUUAGCUAGUUGGAGGGGUAACGGCCCACCAAGGCGAUGAUCAGUAGCCGGUCUGAGAGGAUGAACGGCCACAUUGGGACUGAGACACGGCCCAGACUCCUACGGGAGGCAGCAGUGGGGAAUCUUCCGCAAUGGACGAAAGUCUGACGGAGCAACGCCGCGUGAGUGAUGACGGCCUUCGGGUUGUAAAGCUCUGUUAAUCGGGACGAAAGGCCUUCUUGCGAAUAGUGAGAAGGAUUGACGGUACCGGAAUAGAAAGCCACGGCUAACUACGUG